ensembl:misc_RNA Metazoa_SRP Metazoan signal recognition particle RNA
GCCGGGCGCGGUGGCUCGCGCCUGUAAUCCCAGCACUUUGGGAGGCCGAGAUGGGCGGAUCACCUGAGUUCAGGAGUUUGAGACCAGCCUGGCCAACAUGGUGAAACCCCAUCUCUG